rnacentral:lncRNA from 1 species
GGAUGGGACGACCAGGGUGCCCUAUUCCAUCGGGACUUAAAACUUUGCUUUAAACAUAACUUUUAAUAGGGAUUUUGCCUCUGCAUGCAGUAAUCUCUUUUGACCUUUUGAGUUCUUUAAUAGUUUAACCUUCCAAUUGGUAUCAAAUAUUCAGUUCACAAUGUUACAUGAUUUAAAGGAUGAUCAGGGUAUCUCAAUAUAAGCUAUACCAUUGUGCAUCCAGUGUUUUGAACCCAUUGACUUGGGUCGAACUGAUUUGGUAGCUGGUUAUGAGUUUGUGGUCAGAUUGCUGUUCAACAACGAGUUGACCAAGAUUAAAGGUAAAUACUCUUAUCUAGUAAGAGUCCCCAUCUGUUUUGUAUUAUAUCACAUAAGUAGCUCCGGAAAGGGGACGACUUCUUUUCAAUAAAAAGUAGAAAGAACAACUCUAUAGAAGGAGAGUCAGAACAUCUUAGUCAUUGACUCGUCAACCUUCGGCGGCAGGAUUGUUUCCACUUUGUUCAGCAUAUACUUACUACAGUCAAAGAUAGAUCUCGAGAAAGAAGCAUAUCGCUCGUAAUGAAGGGCAAGCGCUUGUGCUUAGAAUCUAUCUUGUUCGUCUCUCAAUCAAUUAGGUAAUCGAUAAAGAAGAAGAGUUUCCGUGCUCGGCUAUCUUGUGAAACAUCUUAAAGUAUCAUUUCUUUCCAUAUCUGUCUUCUCGACCAAUGUAGACCUUUUCAGCUUCUUCUAACCCUCUAGCGUAGAGGCCAUCUCCACCAUCUCUUAUGCCUGCAUCAUCAUCUCCGUCGUCAUUGAGCCACAAUCUUCUGCUCCAAUUUCUCCAACAUACAGCUAUGCUUCUAUCAAGCUUUGCCAACAUCUCCCCUUUCCUAGAUGACCUUCAACUGGAGGCCUAUCACAUUGCACUCUUUAUUGCCUUCAACUCGAGCUCCAUCGACUAUGCUUUCCUUAAUUAUCAUGUUCAUGUUGAGCACUGCCAACCACCCCCCACUGAAAAGAAAAGCCCUCUAGCAUUGCCGCUCCGUAUCUCCACUUAGCUUCUACUAUUAUUCCUCUCAUUUGCCACUUGAUAACAGUUUCUCUCUUGAUUGUGCACUAUCCAGUCACCAGCAAUCAGGAACUAGUAGUUUGAAAGAAUUUUGGUGGGAUUGAGCAUGAAUUGAAACCAAGACAGGGAUUAAGGCACAUUAAGAAAUUUUGAGGUCAUUUUUUUAUUCAUUUUUCCUUCAUUAAGCGUCAUAAAUAAAGAAAUGACCCCAAUGACAAUAAAUGUAUAAGUAUUUUAUUAUUAUUAUUUUUGAAUCUAUGGUUGGUUUUGAUUAGUUUUGGAUGAAAUUAAUUGAAAUUGACUGCAACUCAGAACUGAACUAUCUAUCUCAGUUUGAUCCAAGGAUUUAGGACUAGGUCUGACUCGUCCUUCUUGGUUGCCCUAGAUUAGGUCGGUGAGACACUUGGUCCUAGGGUGGCUAUGAACCCUAGGUCCAUACGAACUAGCAGUCCUUGUUUGUUCUAGUUGGUACCGGCCUUGAUGGAUUAACAUGGUA